GAGCCAUGUGUUAUAAACAAUGCGAACUAUUCUUUCGCCUUUUACUAAAGAAUACCGUGUUUAUGAUACAUUUGUGGCAUACACCAAUUUUUGGAAGGAUCCCUUUUGUUAAAAGGAU